rnacentral:rRNA from 1 species
GAUGAACGCUGGCGGCGUGCCUAAUACAUGCAAGUCGAGCGAACAGACGAGGAGCUUGCUCCUCUGACUUUAGCGGCGGACGGGUGAGUAACACGUGGAUAACCUACCUAUAAGACUGGGAUAACUUCGGGAAACCGGAGCUAAUACCGGAUAAUAUAUUGAACCUCAUGGUUCAAUAGUGGAAGACGGUUUUGCUGUCACUUAUAGACGGAUCCGCGCCGCAUUAGCUAGUGGGUAAGGUGACGGCUUACCAAGGCAACGAUGCGUAGCCGACCUGAGAGGGUGAUCGGACACCCUGGAAGUGAGACACGGUCCAGACUCCUACGGGAGGCAGCAGUAGGGAAUCUUCCGCAAUGGGCGAAAGCCUGACGGAGCACCGCCGCGUGAGUGAUGAAGGUCUUCGGAUCGUAAAACUAUGUUAUUCGGGAAGAACAAAUGUGUAAGUAACUAUGCACGUAUUGACGGUACCUAAUCAGAAAGCCACGGCUAACUACGUG